rnacentral:rRNA from 1 species
GACGAACGCUGGCGGCGUGCUUAACACAUGCAAGUCGAACGAAGUCGCGAACGGGUGAGUAACGCGUAAUCAACCUGCCCUUCAGAGGGGGACAACAGGUGGAAACGACUGCUAAUACCUCAUACUGAAGGUGGGACUUGCGGCGGAUUAGCUAGUUGGAGGGGGAACGGCCCACCACGGCGAUGAUCAGUAGCCGGGCUGAGAGGGUUGACGGCCACAGUGGGACUGAGACACGGCCCAGAAUCCUACGGGAGGCAGCAGUGGGGAAUUGUCCGCAAUUGACGACAGUCUGACGGAGCCACGCCGCGUGAGUGAUGACGGCCUUCGGGUGUUAAAGCUAGGUUAAUCGGGACGCGGUACCGGAAUAGAAAGCCACGGCUAACUACGUGCCAGCAGCCGCGGUAAUAC